GGGCUUUUGUCUCUCGCUGCAGCCAGAGCUUGGGAUCGCUUUCUGCUAUUCAACGUCCUCCACCUCUGCCCCCCUCUCGCCCCAGCCGGUGACAGGCUGUUGCCCUGUGAUCUGCAGGUCCUGGGACGUGCACAGACAGCUAAGAUGCCAGGACAUUCCAGAAGCACCUGAGUAAUUUGACUCUCCUGCCUGGACCCAGCGUACAGAUGGGAUUGUGCUUCAUUGCUGGACCCAGCAUUUAGGCCCACUACCUAUGAGAUUGCAUGCUCCUGCCUGGGCUGUGCCCACAGUGACCUUGUGACAUAUAUCUGCAUCCAUGACCUAAAAGAUGUGACACUUCUUGCCUGCAACCUGCCCUGCACAGGAAAGAUUGCGACUUCUCCCUGGAAGCAGACACCAGGAGAGAACUGUAACAUAUCCCUGGAUGAGCACCCAGGUGAUGUGAUAUUCCUGCUUGGUUCUUUCCCUCAGGGAAGAUUGUGAGAUACCCUUGGCUGAAAUCCCAGGUCAUACAGAAUUGCCACCCUCCAACAUAUCAUAUAAUGCCCUCGAGUGUUACAAAGAGUGUUAUCCCAAGGCACACAGCACAAAGGGAUCGUCACUCCCGUGGAUGAUCAAAGGUCAGUUCCUGGUCAAUAUAAGUAAACAAGCCUGUUUAAGAUAAAUUCCCCUACACUCCACUGUACCUACUCCUGGCCCUCUGCCUCAGGGUUAUAAAGCAGCUGCCUUCAGCUAUUCUCCCCUGGGUCUUUGCAGAACCUUCCGAACUUUCAGAAGGUUUGCGUCCUUUCCCUAUAGUUUUUCUUACCAUUCUGACUGAUCCCUCACAGGCGCCUGUAAUUUCAGCUACUCCGGGGGCUGAGGCAGGAGAAUCGCUUGAACUCGGGAAGCAGAAGUUGCAGUGAGCCAAGGUCGCACCACUGCACUCCAGCCCAGGCGACAUUGUGAGACUCCAUCUCAAAAAAAAAAAAAAGAAAAAAAGUGUACUAACAAGACCCAGCACACAGAGGAGACUUUUACCAUUGUAUGAACACCCAUCAAACAGUACACAUCAUCAUUGUGAGUUCUGAAUCUCACACAUAGAGGAAGUCAAAGGUGGAAAACUUGACUCUCAUAUUUGGAUCCAGUCCACAGGUGUGAUUUUGACGCACACUUCUGCCCAGCACCUGAGUAAUGUGAUUCUUCAGAAUUGGCCCGGCCCACAAAUAGGAUUGUGCCACACUGCUGGACCCAGUGCCUAAGUGAUGUAACUCUAUUCUUCUGCCUUGGUGCUACUCGAAAAAGACAUUGUAACAUAUCUCAGAGCCUUACACCCAGGUAAUGUGAGUCUCCUCUUCUGCCUUGCUGCUGCACACAGAAGCGGAAUAUGUACAGGAUUGUUAAUCUCAUCUUGGAUCUUCCUGCACUUGUGAUUGUGACACAUGCCUCUGUGUAGAACCUGAGUGAGUUUACUCUCCUGCCUGGAUUUAACCCAUAGAUGGAAUCGUGACAUAUCACUGUACCAGAAACUAGGUGAUGUGACUCUAUUUUCUUGCCUCUGUGUUUUUAUAUGGGGCAUCGUGACAUAUCACUGGGCCUUGCACCCAAGUGAUGGGAGUUUUCUCUCCUGCUUUGGUGCCGUCCACAAUGAAAAUUGUGAAAUAUUGCUGCCCUCCCCACUAGGUUAUGUUACUCUCCUGCCUCUGCUUUGCCCACAUGGGUCACUGUGACAUAUUGCUGGGUCUAAAACCCAGGUAAUGUCACUCUCUUGUUUGGGUUCUGCCUGCAGGAGUCAUUGUCACAUAUCUCUAUGCUCAUCACCCAGGUAAUAUGAUUCCCUUUUACUGCUUAGUUCCUUCUCACAAAACAACUUGUGACAUAUUGCUAGGCCCAAUACACCUAGCUGGUGUAACUCUUCUUUUCUUUUCUUUCCUUUUUUUUUUUUUUUUUUUGAGAUGGAGUCUCACUCUGUUGCCCAGGCUGGAGUGCAGCGGCAUGAUUUCAGCUCACUACAGCCUCUGCCUCCUAGGUUGAAGCGAUUGUCCUGACUUGGCCUCCCAAGUAGCUGGGAUUAAAGGCAUGUGCCACCACGCCCGGCUAAUUUUUGUAUUUAUAGUAGAGACAGGGUUUCGCCAUGUUGGCUAGGCUGGUUUCGAACUUCUAACCUCAGGUGAUCCUCCUGCCUCGGCCUCCCAAAGUACUGGAAUUACAGGCAUGAGCCACUGCACCUGGCCUGAUUCUUCUCUUCUUUCUAGGUUUCAACUGCAGCAGAGAUUGUAACAAACCACUGGGCCCAGCCGCAUAAUGAUGUUACUCUUUUGCCUUGGGCCUGCCCUCAGAAGGCACUGUCACAUAUUCAUGGGCCCAACGCCAAGGUGAUAUGUGUCUCCAGCCUGGACCCUGCCCACAGGGGGCAUUGUGACAUAUCUCUUGGCCCAUCAGAUGUUUGAUUGUUAUCCCCUCCCCUCUUCUACCCUGUGUUUGCCUAUAAAAGACACAGUCAUAUGUUCCUGGGCCCAGCACCUAGGUGUUGUCUUACUGGAAUGUGUCCACAUGGGGAUUGUGAUAUGUCACGUGGCCCAGUACUUAACUUGAUGUGACUCUCCUCUCAUGCCUAGGCCUUGUAGAGAAUCCCCUUCCCCUUUUGUUUUCCUUUUUUUCUUUGCAGAUCCAGGAGAUAAUCAACUAAGAGCCAGGCACCCGUUUAGGUCUAAUAAACAUUUUACAAACUGCUCUCUCUUUUAAUUCACCUAUCUGAGAGAUUCCUCUGUACAAUAAAACUUGGUCUCCACAAUCCUUUACCUUAACCUAAACCUUCCCUUUCAUUGAUCCCAGGUCUUCAGAUUCCACCACUUGUCAACCACAAAAUAUUUAAAUUUACCUGGAAGCCGCCCGCUUUGAGUUGUCCCGCCUUUCUGAACCAAACCAAUAUAUUCCUGCAAAACCGGCCAUGAUUAAAACAUCAAAAAAUAAUACAUGUUGGCGUGGCUGUGGUGAAAAAAGAAUACUUUUUCACUGCUGGUGGGUAUGUAAACUAGUACAACCACUAUGAAAAACAGUAUGGAGAUUCAUUAAAUAAAAGUAAAGCUACCAUUUGAUUAAGCAAUUCUACUACUGUGUAUCUACAUGAAGAAAAAGAAAUUAUAUGUGUAAGACACUUGCACACACAUGUUUAUAGCAGCACAAUUUGCAAUUGCAAAAAUAUGGAAGCAGCCUAAUGCCCAUCAGCUAAUGAGUGGAAAAAGAAAAUGUGGCAUAUAUAUACCAAUGCAUACUACUCAGCCCUAACGAGGAAUAAAAUAAUAGCAUUUGCAGCAAUCUCGAUUUAGUUGGAGACCAUUAUUCUAAGUAACUCAGCAAUAAAAAA
rnacentral:lncRNA from 1 species